rnacentral:rRNA from 1 species
UACGUAGGGUGCGAGCGUUUGUCCGGAAUUACUGGGCGUAAAGAGCUCGUAGGUGGUUUGUCGCGUUGUUCGUGAAAACUCACAGCUCAACUGUGGGCGUGCGGGCGAUACGGGCAGACUGGAGUACUGCAGGGGAGACUGGAACUCCUGGUGUAGCGGUGGAAUGCGCAGAUAUCAGGAGGAACACCGGUGGCGAAGGCGGGUCUCUGGGCAGUAACUGACGCUGAGGAGCGAAAGCGUGGGGAGCGAACAGG